GAUGAACGCUGGCGGCGUGCCUAAUACAUGCAAGUCGAGCGAACAGACGAGGAUCUUUCUCCGCUGACUGUAUCGGCGGACGGGUGAGGAACACGGGGAUAAGCUACCUAUAGGACUGGGAUAACUUCGGGAAACCGGAGCUAAUACCGGAGAAUAUAUUGAACCACAUGGUUCAAUAGUUAAAUAGGUAUUUGCUGUGACUUAGAGAUGGAUCCGCGACGCUUUGUCUAGUUGGUAAGGUAACGACUUACCAAGGCAACGAUGCGUAGCCGACCUGAGAGCGUGCACGGCCACACUGGAACUGAGACACGGUCCCGAUGCCUACGGGAGGCAGCAGUAGGGACUAUUGCGCAAUGGGCGAAAGACUGACGCAGCAACGCCGAGUGAGUGAUGAAGGUAUUCGGAUCGUAAAACUCUGUUAUUAGGGAUGAACAACUGUGUACGUAACUAUGCACGUAUUGACGGUACCUAAUCAGACAGCAACGGCUAACUACGUG
rnacentral:rRNA from 1 species